GCUGGCGGCGUGCCUAACACAUGCAAGUCGAACGGAGUUGAAAGGAGCUUGCUUUUUCAACUCAGUGGCGGACGGGUGAGUAACGCGUGAGUAACCUGCCUUUCAGAGGGGGAUAACGUUCUGAAAAGAACGCUAAUACCGCAUAAGAUUGUAGUUUCGCAUGGAGCAGCAAUCAAAGGAGCAAUCCGCUGAAAGAUGGACUCGCGUCCGAUUAGAUAGUUGGCGGGGUAACGGCCCACCAAGUCGACGAUCGGUAGCCGGACUGAGAGGUUGAUCGGCCACAUUGGGACUGAGACACGGCCCAGACUCCUACGGGAGGCAGCAGUGAGGGAUAUUGGGCAAUGGGGGAAACCCUGACCCAGCAACGCCGCGUGAGGGAUGACGGUUUUCGGAUUGUAAACCUCUGUCCUCUGUGAAGAUAGUGACGGUAGCAGAGGAGGAAGCUCCGGCUAACUACGUGCCAGCAGCCGCGGUAAUACGUAGGGAGCAAGCGUUGUCCGGAUUUACUGGGUGUAAAGGGUGCGUAGGCGGAUUGGCAAGUCAGAAGUGAAAUCCAUGGGCUUAACCCAUGAACUGCUUUUGAAACUGUUAGUCUUGAGUGAAGUAGAGGUAGGCGGAAUUCCCGGUGUAGCGGUGAAAUGCGUAGAGAUCGGGAGGAACACCAGUGGCGAAGGCGGC
rnacentral:rRNA from 1 species